UGGGGAAUUUUGGACAAUGGGCGAAAGCCUGAUCCAGCAAUGCCGCGUGUGUGAAGAAGGCCUUCGGGUUGUAAAGCACUUUUGUCCGGAAAGAAAUCCUUGGCUCUAAUACAGUCGGGGGAUGACGGUACCGGAAGAAUAAGCACCGGCUAACUACGUGCCAGCAGCCGCGGUAAUACGUAGGGUGCAAGCGUUAAUCGGAAUUACUGGGCGUAAAGCGUGCGCAGGCGGUUUGCUAAGACCGAUGUGAAAUCCCCCGGGGCUAACCUGGGGAACUGCAUUGGUGACUGGCAGGCUAGAGUAUGGCAGAGGGGGGUAAAUUCCACGUGUAGCAGUGAAAUGCGUAGAGAUGUGGAGGAAUACCGAUGGCGAAGGCAGCCCCCUGGGCCAAAUACUGACGCUCAUGCACGAAAAGCGUGGGGGAGCAAACAGGAUUAGGAUAACCCUGGUAGUCCACGCCCUAAAACCGAUGUCCAACUAGUUGUUGGGGAUUCAUUUCCUUAGUAACGUAGCUAACGCGUGAAGUUGACCGCCUGGGGAGUACGGUCG
rnacentral:rRNA from 1 species